GAGACGCCUGGGAUAGGUGGCUGUGGAGAGUAGGAGGUGGGGAGCUGAAAACUGGUAGGGGAGGGGGUUCUUGAAACUUAACCUUCAUCAAAUAUUGUACUAACAGGGAAGUUAAGGCAGGAAGUGUUGGUUUGUGGUUAAGCACAUGGGGCAGGGGUUGCUCUUAAGAGGAGCAAACAAAUUCAAGUGCAGAAAAUUUACAUGGGAUUGAGGGCUUUGUGGUCCCGAAGUUGUGUCAAGCUCAAAGUUUGAUUAACCUUGUCAGCACUUAAAAUUGUUUUUGAGAUUUUGCAAAGGGUUCCCACUAAGAUUUGUUUUUUCACCUUGUAAAAAAAGAAAUGUUGGGAAUAAUUAGGGUUAUUGAUAGGUUACUAAUGAUGUGUUACGUGGGAAAUACUCUCGAAUCAGAAGAAAUGCUUAGACCUCCCUAGGUUAAAUUUGUUUGGGUAAAACAUUAUUAGUGUAAAUAUUUAAACAAUUGUAUCCUGUAUGGGAAGGUUCUACACAAUGAUCAGUGUUUUUGCUGACCAUGAUACGUUUCUGUGUAUCAGAGUUUUAGUGUUACUUUGCCUGUAAAACAAAAGCAGUAUUAUAUUAGCAGUCAUAAUUUUAGUUAUUUUUAAAAACAUUAAGUUGGUUGCAACUUUACAUCUUUAAUGUGAAUUCAGUGUGUUUCCUGGCUAGUUUUCUACUGAGGAUUCACAUCAUUUAUCUAUAAAGUUUUAUUAAUCUACUACUGAUGUUUAAAAGCCUACUUUAGAUGUAUUAAAUCUAUUUACUUGAUAGUCUUGACAUAUUCUUGAUAUAUUCUAACUUUGUACUAGGUUUACACCUAACAUUUCAGGAUUUUUAUGUUAUACCUGAAAAUGUUUUCUCUGUGAAGAUUAUGUUUAUCUGUUUUCAUAAAUUAAAUGCAAUCUCUUCUAUGAAAAUAGGCACGAAUCUUUGUGUUUAAACAUGUUUUGUCAAAACCUUUUUUGGAUUGACUUUAUUUUGUUCUCUGUGCCAUGGACACAACCAGAUAUGCUUGUCGAUUGCAUGAUUAUUGUAAUGAACUCUCUUCAGAUCAUUCUCUUUUGAAAAUAUCAGUAGGAAGUAAAUAAUAGACCUUCUAGUCUUUUGUCAUCUACAGACAGUUUGUAUGCUUUGUUUUACUCCUGAUGCUUCCAUGAAAAUGCCUGGAAUCAGCUGGAAGGCAGAGUGUUCCAUUUUUAACAAAGGAUUGUCUUAAGAGCCUGGAGACUCUGCCAGAUACUCUUGGGUGCAGGCUUCUGAUGGCAUUGUUUAACUAUGAGAUCAUACCAGUGGACUGAGUCAGGAGUUCCAGACAUCCAGUCAAGAAGUAGAGGUGUUCCUGAGACUAGUAACCCUGGAUCAAGUGGAACAAGAAUUAUUACAUAGGACUGAAUGAACUGAUCUUUCAUGAUUAUGGGCUUUGUUUGGAACAGUGCUGAUGCUCUCGUGUUCUAUUUUCUGGAUGUAAGGAUGCACUUUCUCUCUUCUCUCAAGCUAUCUAGCACUCACAACAAUUUAGUAGACUGUGCCCUUGUGAAACAGAAGGGAAACAUUCCUCUUCUCUGCCCUGCCUCACCCUUCCAAAUUCUGGGAAGUCUCGUGGAGUAUUCCUGUUUUCGUGGCACUGUAGUUAUUUGCAUAGAUUCAGUGAGAGCCCGUCCACCUUGUUAAUAGGACAUAAUUGGAAGCACUGGUUAAUCAAGGCUGGCUCUGCCUAUAAUGUCACAGUUGAUAAUGAUGCUCGUUUCGUCAGAUGUGACCAGACCCUUUUCAGCAAUUAAAGUUGACAUGAUGGGCCAAUGCUUACAAAGUCCCUCUUGGGAAAACUGGCCUGGCAACCGGCUUGAUAGGGUUCCCAGCCUUAUAGGUGAGCAAGGAAGGUCACUUCCUGGCAGACUCAGGAAUCCUAGGCUAUUUUGAGGACCUCAGGAAGAGAGGAAUGCCCACCAAAUCACUAGGUACUGCAGGUGGAAAAUGAUGGUGAAGUUUUGGCUUGGCUUCCUAGUCUCGAGAGGCUCUGAAAAGUCCAAUCUGAGAUUCUUUCUGAAAGCGUCCAGAGAAGCCAGUAUAAGACCUACGUGGUACCACGUCGUUCUUGCUGCAUCUAUGUAAAUAACCAGGCCACCUCCAGUGAGACCAGCCUUAUUUUGUGACCAAGAGAAAUCUUUCUUUGAGAUUGUCUUUGAUCAAGAGGGGAAAGGGACUGUAGAGAGCCUUUGGUGUUUCAAUGGGAAACUAUAGCAUGCUCUUUUGGAUUACCGGAUUCUGACCCUAUUCAUUGCCUUUGAGCUAUUUUGCACCUCUGUAAAUUGCAGAUCUAUCUGGAAACUUUGUUUUGUCUGGUAACUAAGCUUUCUGUUUCCCUGUGCAAAAACCGGUUUGAUGUUUACUUCUAAAUUGCACUGUGUUUUCUCACCUUGCACAACUUGUCAACCCUUAACCAGAUUUUCAGUUCUUACAGUUUCCUUUAAUAUUUGGCUAUAAACUAAUCUUAGCCUCAAAAUAAACUUUCCAUUUUUUCUGCCUCCUUCUUGACUUGAAGUCAUGAGAACUACAAACCGAUUGCCAGGUUUUUAUUGGGACUCUGAAAUUGCCUUUGCUGGUCUUUGCCUCCAAAAUCUGAAGAGUCACUGCAAGCUGAAGCCUAAGGACUUUUUAUAAGAUUGGAAGGACUCAUCAUCCCACCUGAUCAUUCAUGGUCCAGCUCUUUCCAUGCAUAGGCCACUGCUUGCACUACCAAGCAAGUGUGGCGAAAUACUCGAGCCAUCCAUCCUUAUUGGAGAAGAACCAAUGCUGUGGACAUCACCACCAAUACAAUUGACAUCUCAGCUUCAAAAAACUCAGUGAGUGUUUUCUUGGAAGUUCCACCAAAAUACAGUUGGCACUGACCAUCACCGUGGCCUCCAGUCUUAGACCAGGCACCCAGAACCUGUUGUGCCUCACUGCUCACUGCUCAUCAAGUCCACAACGAUGUGGAUAUUUUGUCUGUUGGAAGAAACAUCAGAGGAAAUCUGCUGCCUUUGAUCUCAAUGGAAGGAACUUUAUCAGAUGAUCCCAAUGAUGACAAAACAACGGAAAGGUCAGGAAGAUCUCGCAUACAGUUGACUAUGGAGGUGACUAACAAUCUCUGAGCAGCGCAGAUCUGGAUCACUAGCUUUCUCUGAAUUGGCCGACUUCUUGCAAAUAACCCUGUUUAAGAUGUCUGGACUUCAAGAUUCUAAAACAAUUGACCUUUGCUAUAACCUCUCAACAGAUGGUUCAGCUUAUUUUACAGGAACAACACCAACAAAAGUCCUAGACAGAUCCUGCUUUGUCUCACUCAGGAGGUUUAUGCUGGUCUUUUACUUGUUUAGGUUAGUUUAUUAUAUUCAUUCUUAUUGAACAAAAGGAGGGUUUGACAGUGUCAGCUCAGUAUUUAUCUGAGCUCUGUAUUCCUGGAAAACAUUGAUGGUUAAUAAAUCCCCCAUCUUUUGUGUUCAGUUUCUUACUGAAAAGAGCCACCACCCUUCUGCAUACCAUUUAUGGAAGACUCCUCAUCCAUUUUUUCUCAUGACUCCAAUAAGAGUUGUGUGUCAAGGUGUCUAUGGAAAAUUGAUUUUUGGCAAAGAUGCCAGCACCAUUCAAAGGCAAAAGCAUAGUGCUUUCAACAAAUGAUUCUGGGACAACUGGCUAGAGUCACACACAGGAGAAUGAAGUUGGAUCUUUACCUCACCACUAUAUAAAAAAUAACUCAAAGUGAAUCAAAAAUCCAAGUCUAUGAGCUAAAACUGUGGGAUUCUUAGAAGAAAACAUAGAGGUAAAUGUUCAUGACAUCAGGUGUGGCAGUGGAAUUUGAGAUAUGACUCCAAACACAAGCAACAAGACAAAAAAACAGAUAAAUUGAGCUUCAUUAAAAUUGAAAAAUUUGUGGGAUGCCUGAUGGCUCAGUUGGUUAAGGAUCAGAUUUCAGCUGAGGUCAUGAUCUCACAUUUCAUGGGUUGGAGCGCCAUGGCGGGCUCUGUGCUGAUAGCUUAGAGCCUGGAGCCUGCUUCAGAUUCUUCUCCACCUGUCUCUGCCCCUCCCCUGCUCACACUCUGUCUCUCAAAAAAGAAUAAAAAACAUUAAAAAAUAAAAAUAUAUUAAAACUUUUGUGCUUCAAAAGAUACUAUCAAGAAAGUGAAAGGACAACCUAAGGACUAUAGCUAUAUUUGAAAAUUGUAUAUCUGAUAAGGAACCUGUAUCUAGAAUAUAUAAAGAAUUCUUAAAAUUCAGUAAUAAAAAUGACAAAUAACCUAGUUUAAAAAGUCAAAGGAUUUGAAUGGACAUUUCUCCAAAGAUGACAUACAAAUGGCUGAUAAGCAUAUGAAAAUAUGCCAUAGAUCAUUAGUCAUCAAGUAAGUGCAGAUCAAAACCACAAUGAGAUAUUACUUCAAGCCCACUAGCCUAGAAUCAAAAGGUAGGUCAAUAACAAGUGUUGGCAAGGAUGUGGAGAAACUGAAACCCCUCUAGAUUGCUAGUGGGAAGGCAAAGUCACUACAGAAAACAAUCUGACAGUUUCUUCAAAUGAUUUACCCUAUGAUCCAGACAUUACACUCCUAGAGAUACGGCCAAAGGGAAAAAAAAAACCUAUGUCUACACAAAAAGUUGUACACAAAUGUUUACAGCAACAAUAUUCAUAAUAGCCAAAAGGUAGAAUCAACCCAGUGUCCAACUGGAUAUUUGGAUAAACAAAAUAUGAUACAUCCAUACAAUGAAAUAUUAUUUGGCCAUGAAAAGGAAAGAAUGACUGACAUAUGCUAUAACACGGACAAAUCUUGACCACAUUAAACUAAGUAAAAGAUGCCAGUGACAAAAGACCACAUAUUGUAUUAUCCGUUUAUAUGAAAUGUCCAGAAUAAGAGAAUGUAAAAAGAUAGAAAAUAAGAUAAUGGUUGCUUAGGGCUGGAAAGGAUGGUGGGUGGGGAAGGGAUAGCUAAAUCCGAUGUUCUUUUCUUAAAUUGAGAUGACAAAAAUAUUCUAAAAUUGAUUGUAAGGAUGGCUUCAAAUCUGUAAAUAAAAAUAAUUGUACCUUUUAAAUGAGUGAAUUUUGUGGUAUGUGAAUUAUGUCUCAAGAGAGCUGUUAAGACACAAGAAGACAAAUGGCCCGUGUUUGCAGAUGUUUAGUAGCCUGUUUCCUGAAUACAGGAAGUUGGGAGCCCAGUUUGAACUACCUUUGUCCCUUGUGAUUCACAGUGCCAGCAUUUUCACUAAUACGAUUCUCUUAAUUCUGUGGGUUUUUACGAAGUUGAGAAGUUCACUCUAUGCCACGAAACUGCGUCCAUAAUUAUUUUUGAGUCAGAUCUUCUAAUUCUGACUGCCUAAGUGAAUGCAGAGGGCCAGGGCUUUUGUCUUCCUGAGAGCACCACUUUCAGUAUUUAAAGAUCUUAACAAAGGUGUUACAGUUACUGCUAUACAACAAACCAUACCAAAACCUAGUGAAUUAACACAAUCAUGAUUUUUAAUAUGUCUGAUCGUUUUGUGGGUCAGCCUGGAGAUUCCCAAGCCGAUUCUGCCUGCGCUCACAUAUGUGUUGUUUCAGCGAGAGAUUUGGCUGGACUGGAAGGUGCAAAAUGACCUCACUCACACGUUUGACCCUUGGUUCUGGCCUUUGGCUGAGAUUCUUCAGUUUUUUCUCCAUAUGACCUCUCAUCUGCCAGUAGGCUAGUUCAGCUGCCUUCCCUGGCUAAGGGAAGUUUUCCGAGAGAACCGAAGCAGAAGAUGCAAAGCCUUUUAAAGCUCAACCCCGGAAGUUGCAUUAUGUCAUUUCCGCCAUAUUCCAUUGGCCAAAGCAAGUUAUACUGGUCUAGAUUCAAGAGGAUGGAGAAACAGAUUCCACAACCAGACGGCGGGCAAAGGGAAAGCCGCUCUGCAACAUAUCUUUGUCUUACUGAGAUAGGAAGGGUUAGGGACGUUAAACAACUUCUGCAGUCCUUACAAGGAUUUUGGACUUUAUUGCUUGGAGCAUCUCUAAAAUAUGCUAGUAACAGAGAAUUAUAUGAUCAGUUUGUGUUUUAGAGAGAUGACUCUGAGAGCAGUGUGGAAGAUGAAGAGAGGAAAGACAGAAGUUAGGCACAGUGUAUUUAGAAAAAUAAUGCAGUUGUCCACCUGGAGAUGACAAGGGCUCGAAGAGAGAUUGAAUGAGGAGAUGGCUUAUGGAUUUUUAAAUCUGACUCAGUGUUAGGCAAGUGUCAGAGUUUUAUAUAGCAUGACAACUCACUAUACCAUGACUAUAUGGAUAUGUAAUAAAUUGUAUAUAACAUCUCUAGUAAUACAUAUAUGUGUUGUAAAACUAUAUCAAGUGAAAGGAAGGGAAUGAUGAGCACAGAGUUUGGGAUGAUGACUGUCUUAGAUGAGGGAUGUAAACUAUUAUAAAAGUUUUGGACUUGUGGUUGGGUAGUAGACUCAUAUGUGCUUGUUAUAUUGCUACCAAAAGAGAAAGCAAAGAGAAAUAGUUGUAGACCAAAGGUGUAAGCAUAGUGUGAAACAGGGAUUGUUCUUUAUAUAUCUGAUCCAUGAAGGAAAAUGAUAAUGCUGAUCUGCUUUGUGGAUCUCCAGUGAGAUGGGUUAGUAUGUACUAUGCAGCAUUUCCCCACCUUGCUUGCUCCAGAAUCAUUUGUCCACAGAUGAAGCAUGGAAGCUGCCAAGGCACUUAUUUCACAGAUGAGGAAAA